rnacentral:lncRNA from 1 species
CGACUAAUUAAAUGGCAAUGAAUUUUACUUUCAAAUCUACAACUCGUUCAAUUUUGAUCGAUCCCACAAUUUGUGCUUUUUUAUAUUAAAUUAACAAUUUAUGAAGUUCGCUGAGCAACUAGAUUCUGAGAGUACAUAAGAGCAGCAAGUCUUAUAGAAAACCUGCAUCAACACCCAAUAUUCUCAACAAGAAACAUUGUAUGCCCUUUUAAUAAAUCCACUUAUACAACCAAAACCACGAAUCGUUUGCAGCAGAAUGUGCUUGCAUUGAUGAAAUCAUGCCCCACAAUCAAUUCAAGAAAUUCUCAUACAACACUGUCGAUCCACUCAUCAUCUCUAAAUGAUUUUAUCAAGUUCAUGCCAUUUCUAAAGGAACUUCUAGUUUUUGUGCCAACAAUAAGUUGCAGAUGCUUUGAAGCAUCUAGUUUGUAUUGGGAAAGUAUCUUAUAUGAUUAAUGGUUAAACCCUUGAAGUAGACUCCAAAUGAUAAAAUUGUACUAAUUAAAGUAAAAGAAAUUAGGUGCCAUGCCUUAAGGUGGGCCAUAUCACUAUUGAAAUUUGAAGCCUGGAUUUAGAUUUUUUCGUGGAUAAUGUGACUUCACUUCACUUCUCACUUCCCAGAUAAUGAUGCAUCCCUACAUUUAAGUUGAGGAAUGUCGUGUGUUUGUUGAUUUUUAUCUGUCAUUUAUUUCUUUUAUUAGUCUUGAAUCUAAAGUAAUCACCAAGGGAAAAAAUUUGACAUAGCAGAAUGAUCAAGUUGACUGGAAUUGAAGAGUUGGUUGCGUAUAGAAGUUGGAGCUUUUCGAUCUACUGAAUAAUGUAUCUGGUUUAAAGAUAAGUUUCUAUGUCAAUUUUUUUAUAGCACAGAUGACUGAUAUGACUUAAGAAUUGUGAAAGAUUUGAAAAAAAAAAAAAAAAAAAAAAAAGCACGCGAGUAUGGUACCUUUCAGCUGGCACUGUGAAUAAAUGGCCAGGGCAUGUCUCCAAGUUGGUUCCCUAGGGAUGAGUUUUGAUAUUAGGGUCAGCUUUCCUAUAAUGAUAAUAUAUUAUAUGCCUGUUAGACUCCUCAUUCUCCCUCAAGAUGUUAGAAUGUGAUAAUGCAUCCCGGAAUUAUGUCCAUCAGUCCAUGGCAUGAAAAAAAAACAUUUUGAUUUUGGGCAUGGAACUGAUGCAAUCUUCCAUGUAGGCCGUUUUCUGACUUGCGAUUGGAAACU